UUGAAAGGGAAACGAUUGAAGUCAGUCGUACCUGCGGAUAAUCAACCUUUAGAUGCGAUUUUGUGGAGUGUGAGGAGCUAAUCGCCUUCAUGCCUGUAUAUUCGUGUACUUGGGGUGUACUUAUUCGUGAGGUAAGUUAACAUCAAUUUUGGUGGUCAUAAAAUGACUGGAGGAAUGUAGCUUCGAUCUGGUAUUGAAGUGUUAUAGCCUUCGGUAGAUGUGAUGAUCGAGAUUGAGGAUUGCAACGGAUACCCUUCGGGGCUACCUGUCUGGUCUCUGAUCGUUGCUCUGGUGCCGAAAGCUUGCUUACGGUUAUCAAAGUCGAUGGUCAAUAGGUUAGAACGGGUUAAAUUCGUUAAGGAUGUUGACGUA
rnacentral:rRNA from 1 species